AGCAGGCUGCUCUAUUUAACAGGGCACCAGAAAUCAUGUUGAUUGCAGGACGCCUUGCUCUCCUUCUGGCUUUCUUAUCUGGUGCUCAGUCUGAGGUGGUGUUGGCUCAGCCAGAAUCUGAGACGGGGUUCGCCGGACAGUCACUGAAACUGACUUGUAAAACCAGCGGUUUCAAUCUGAAGGACUACAAUAUGCAUUGGUACCGCCAAGGUCCUGAAAAGGGUCCACAAUGGUUAGUUCGCUACUACAGUGAAAGCGUCAGCAAUUAUCAUCCAGAGGUCAGAGGACGAAUUAUUGCUUCCAAAGACCUUUCAAACAGUAUCUUCGCUCUGGAUAUCAAGACACUUAAAAUAUCAGAUGGUGCGACAUAUUAUUGUGCACAGCAACACAGUGAGACAGAUCAGUUACCAACCUGCACAAAAACCCAAAAGAGGAAAUGUAUUAUUUUCUGCUCGUCUCAAAUCUACAAAACAUGCACCAUCGACAGCAGCUCAAAUAAUCACAAUAUUGUAAAUAACAGCAGGAACUCAUUCUGCUCUUCAGGUCUCUGA